AACGAACGCUGGCGGCAGGCCUAACACAUGCAAGUCGAACGGCAGCAUGGAAGAGCUUGCUCUUCUGAUGGCGAGUGGCGAACGGGUGAGUAAAGCAUCGGAACGUACCGUGUAGUGGGGGAUAACGUAGCGAAAGUUACGCUAAUACCGCAUACGCACUGAGGUGGAAAGCAGGGGAUCGCAAGACCUUGCGCUAUACGAGCGGCCGAUGUCAGAUUAGCUAGUUGGUAGGGUAAAGGCCUACCAAGGCGACGAUCUGUAGCGGGUCUGAGAGGAUGAUCCGCCACACUGGGACUGAGACACGGCCCAGACUCCUACGGGAGGCAGCAGUGGGGAAUUUUGGACAAUGGGCGAAAGCCUGAUCCAGCCAUGCCGCGUGAGUGAAGAAGGCCUUCGGGUUGUAAAGCUCUUUCGGCUGGGAAGAAAUCGCACAGGCUAAUACUCUGUGUGGAUGACGGUACCAGCACAAGAAACACCGGCUAACUACGUGCCAGCCGCCGCGGUAAAAC
rnacentral:rRNA from 1 species